UACAACUUUCAACAACGGAUCUCUUGGCUCUCGCAUCGAUGAAGAACGCAGCGAAAUGCGAUAAGUAAUGUGAAUUGCAGAUUUCAGUGAAUCAUCGAAUCUUUGAACGCACCUUGCACCCUGUGGUAUUCCACAGGGUAUGCCCGUUUGAGUAUCAUU
rnacentral:rRNA from 1 species